rnacentral:rRNA from 1 species
ACUCCUACGGGAGGCAGCAGUGGGGAAUAUUGCACAAUGGGCGCAAGCCUGAUGCAGCCAUGCCGCGUGUAUGAAGAAGGCCUUCGGGUUGUAAAGUACUUUCAGCAGUGAGGAAGGUGGAUAUGUUAAUAGCAUAUUCAUUUGACGUUAGCUGCAGAAGAAGCACCGGCUAACUCCGUGCCAGCAGCCGCGGUAAUACGGAGGGUGCGAGCGUUAAUCGGAAUUACUGGGCGUAAAGCGCAUGCAGGUGGUUUGUUAAGUCAGAUGUGAAAGCCCGGGGCUCAACCUCGGAAUUGCAUUUGAAACUGGCAAACUAGAGUACUGUAGAGGGGGGUAGAAUUUCAGGUGUAGCGGUGAAAUGCGUAGAGAUCUGAAGGAAUACCGGUGGCGAAGGCGGCCCCCUGGACAGAUACUGACACUCAGAUGCGAAAGCGUGGGGAGCAAACAGGAUUAGAUACCCUGGUCGGCUCU